CCUACGGGGGGCAGCAGUAGGGAAUUUUCGUCAAUGGGCGCAAGCCUGACCCAGCAACGCCGCGUGAAGGAAGAAGGCUUUCGGGUUGUAAACUUCUUUUGUCAGGGAAGAGUAGAAGACGGUACCUGACGAAUAAGCCACGGCUAACUACGUGCCAGCAGCCGCGGUAAUACGUAGGUGGCAAGCGUUGUCCGGAUUUACUGGGUGUAAAGGGCGUGUAGCCGGGUUGACAAGUCAGAUGUGAAAUCCUGCGGCUUAACCGCAGAACUGCAUUUGAAACUGUUGAUCUUGAGUACUGGAGAGGCAGACGGAAUUCCUAGUGUAGCGGUGAAAUGCGUAGAUAUUAGGAGGAACACCAGUGGCGAAGGCGGUCUGCUGGACAGCAACUGACGGUGAGGCGCGAAAGCGUGGGGAGCAAACAGGAUUAGAUACCCCAGUAGUC
rnacentral:rRNA from 1 species